rnacentral:tRNA from 1 species
GGAGGGUUCCGGCCCGUGGGGGCCAGCCGGUCUUGAAAACCGGAGGCAGGUGCAAGCCUGGGCGUUCGACUCGUCAACCUUCCGCCA